rnacentral:lncRNA from 1 species
GACAGUCUCACCCGAAUGAUGAAAUAAAAAUUGGCAAGUUCUAUUUUUAAUAUUGUGGCCCAUCGUCACCAAAAACAUUGCGACCAUCUCAUCUACUUCCAUAUUUUUUGUUCUCUUCAACCCCCCUGACCUUUAAGUAAAUCAACCAACUUCUAAAAGACUCUGAACUUUACUCGCAACAUGUUUAUGCAAUUAAUGUUAGUGGUUCUAGUUGCAUUAAGUAAAAACCACUCCUAUAGACUGCUCUACCAUAAGGAAGUGGCCUAGGUAUGUGAUCUUCUGUUUCAACCAACCUACGAGUAUUUUUACCUUCUUCCUUCAUUAGUAAAGAUACAUAUUGUUGAAGUAAGUUGUACCACAUGCAUAUGACAUAUACAAUUAUUCUUCUCCGUUGUUUGUAAGGCCUCCUUGCCAUCACUAUACCCUAAUGAAGUGCCAAUACACAAUCAAUAUGCUAUCUAACACAUCAUAACAUAACAAACAUAUUCACUAUACAGCCAGUAAUAAAGAAGUUAAGACCAAAACUACAAAUAUUAUACACAUGUUAUCUGAAACUCAGUAGAUUAGUUCAUGCACUGAAACUCAGUGGAUUAGUUCAUGCAUUAAAUACCACUAUGAAAAAAAUUCCAGAUUCCAUAUGGUGGCCAUAGCAUGUUUCUAUUCAUAUUGAUGCUUAGAGGGAAAUGCUAAGUUGAUGCACAUUGAGGGUUAGCAUGAAAAUGGGGAGAGAAAACACACCUGUUCGCAUGAACAAAAUGGUAGAUCCGAUAAGAUCUGUUGGUGGAGAAAAAUCUCUUCACCAGAAUCCCUAGUUUGAGCCAAACCUGAAAAAGA